GUCACAGUUUCCCGUCUUUGGCCGACAGACGCUGCCUGACGCUUUCAGCUGCAAAUGGCGAUGGACCACAAAUGCAAUUAAUCACACACAACCGCACACUUAGUCCAAAUGAAGGAGAAGCCUCUACAAGCUGUGUUAAGAGAAGAAGAGGAAUCUCCUCCACAAGUUACGUAAAAGGGAAAGCGGACGUGGCUGAGGACUGGGGAAGGGUGCGUGAAGUAGGACGCUAAAGCCACGCCCCCAGUAGGUAUAUAGCGCCGGGGUGUUUUUAUUUAUGUAUUUAUUUAUUUUUUAUAGCCGCUUGACUGACUUGGAGCAUUUCCGGGGUGUGCAUUGUGCAAAACAACAUUGGUUUGGCUAAGGACCCCCGAAAAUGUCACCUAUGAAGA